rnacentral:rRNA from 1 species
UUAGAUCAGAAGCGAGAAUGUUGACAUGAGUAGCGACAAAGAGGGUGAGAGACCCUCUCGCCGAAAGUCCAAGGGUUCCUGCUUAAAGCUAAUCUGAGCAGGGUGAGCCGGCCCCUAAGGCGAGGCCGAAAGGCGUAGUCGAUGGGAACUAGGUUAAUAUUCCUAGGCCAGUGGGAAGUGACGGAUCUCGAAGGUUGUCUGCCCUUAUCGGAUUGGGUGGGCCGCUUAGAGGUUCCUGGAAAUAGCCCCACAUCAGACCGUACCCUAAACCGACACAGGUGGACUGGUAGAGUAUACCAAGGCGCUUGAGAGAACCACGUUAAAGGAACUCGGCAAAAUGCCUCCGUAAGUUCGCGAGAAGGAGGCCCCAUCAGUAGGCAACUAUUGGUGGGGGGCACAAACUAGGGGGUGGCGACUGUUUACUUAAAACACAGGGCUGUGCGAAGCCGUAAGGCGACGUAUACAGUCUGACGCCUGCCCGGUGCUGGAAGAUUAAGAGGAGGGGUGCAAGCUCUGAAUUGAAGUCCCAGUAAACGGCGGCCGUAACAAUAACGGUCCUAAGGUAGCGAAAUUCCUUGUCGGGUAAGUUCCGACCUGCACGAAUGGCGUAACGAUCUCCCCGCUGUCUCUAACGUGGACUCAGCGAAAUUGAACUGUGUGUCAAGAUGCACACUUCCCGCGGUUAGACGGAAAGACCCCAUGCACCUUUACUCUAGCUUUGCACUGGCAUCAGGAUUGUGAUGUGCAGGAUAGGUGGUAGGCAUUGAAGCGGGGACGCCAGUCUUCGUGGAGCCUCCCUUGAGAUACCACCCUUCGCACUCUUGAUGUCUAACCGCGGCCCGUUAUCCGGGUCCGGGACCCUGCAUGGUGGGGAGUUUGACUGGGGCGGUCGCCUCCUAAACAGUAACGGAGGCGCGCGAUGGUUGGCUCAGACCGGUCGGAAAUCGGUCGUUGAGUGCAAUGGCAGAAGCCAGCCUGACUGCAAGUCUGACAAGACGAGCAGAGACGAAAGUCGGUCAUAGUGAUCCGGUGGUCCCAAGUUGGAGGGCCAUCGCUCAACGGAUAAAAGGUACGCUGGGGAUAACAGGCUGAUGAUGCCCAAGAGUCCAUAUCGACGGCAUCGUUUGGCACCUCGAUGUCGGCUCAUCUCAUCCUGGGGCUGGAGCAGGUCCCAAGGGUAUGGCUGUUCGCCAUUUAAAGAGGUACGUGAACUGGGUUUAGAACGUCGUGAGACAGUUCGGUCCCUAUCUGCCGUGGGUGUAGGAGACUUGAGAAGAGUUGCCCCUAGUACGAGAGGACCGGGGUGAACGAACCACUGGUGGACCUGAUAUCGUGCCAACGGUAGUGCUGGGUAGCUAUGUUCGGACAGGAUAAACGCUGAAGGCAUCUAAGCGUGAAGCCCCCUUCAAAACAUGUCUCCCUUGAGAGCCGUGGAAGACCACCACGUCGAUAGGCCGGAGGUGUAAGUGCAGCAAUGCAUUCAGCUGACCGGUACUAAUUGCUCGAA